GUCAGCAACAUGUAAUGGAUUCUGAUUUUAUUCUUUAUUUUAGAAGUAACUGCUCCCCCUGAGGAUAAUCCUGUAGAAGAUUCACAGGUAAUUGUAGAAGAAGUAAGCAUUUUUCCUGUGGAAGAACAGCAGGAAGUACCACCAGAUACUUAAAGCUUCAAAAAGACUGCCCCUACCACCACAGGAGGACCAGCCUAACCAUACGCUCCAAAAGAUGGCUGUGAUAGAUCUUGUGAAGCAAUUACUGAGCAGAUCAAGAUCUUUGGGAAGGAACACUAAAGAUGUUUUGAAUGAAUUAUAGUCCACUGGCAUUUUAGUGUAUUUUUUUUUCUUUUUAGAAACACACAUUUCUAAAAAUGUCAUGUUACAUUCCUGCAUGUCCCUUUUGAUAGCAUUAGUGGAUCCAUUGGAUUUCUUUUUUCUUUUUGUGAGACAGCUUUUAGUCUUACCUGAAUUUAUGUGUGUUUUUCCGACAGUGGUUAAUAAUUAUAUUGGUGAUGUAGCAGCAAUUGUGUUGGCAGGGUUUUCAUAUAUUAUUAGUAAUUAACACUAACUGUUGGACUGACUUGUGUACACUGUGUUAAACAUGAUUUAAAAGCUAUUAAGAGUACUUUGUGUUAGCACUCUUAAAAACGCUAACAGAGAUCAUCAUUAGCUGUGAAGAUUUGAGUUGUAUAUACCUGCACUGAUAUUCUUAUCAAAAAUUUCUACAUUAGCUUUAAGUGUUCAGAUUAACACUUUUGAAAUUUUUGUAGCUUUUAGCUGAUUAAUUAGAAAAAUU
rnacentral:lncRNA from 1 species